CGCCACGACUCGACGGAUUCAGCUGCUUGACGAACGGAACAUGGAUCCAAUCACAUGGCAGGGGUGCAACGACACACUGUCCAAUGAGGAAGACUGGUUCCCUCCAUGUCUGGCAUCUGAGCUGCCAGGAAGUUGGGAUGAAGGCAGUUUCUCCACUCUGUGCAGCACCUGUCUCCAUGUGAAAGGUGGGGGGAUGCUGGCUGGCAACAUAAGG